ensembl:lncRNA
AUCAAGGGAGGUUGGAAUGGUCCAGGCAUCACCCCAAUGGAGGGAAGCAAGGAGGACAGGGGUUGUUUCUUCUGUAGAAGAGAAGGCUGAAGGGGAAAGACAGUUCACCAGUGAUGGGCUUAAAAUAGCAGCAGAAGAAAUUGUGGAGGAGAUCAGACCAACAUCUGUCAGGAGUGGUUUUGGUGGAGCUGAUCUUGCCUGGAGGAAGGGAAAUGGGCUCGGCUGUAUGCCUUAAGGAAUAGGAUGAAGUCCUGUCUUCCCAACAAAGGACAGAAGAACGUUUCAGAUUUGUGAUGGGUGGACACAGAAAGAAGCCUGGACCACUUCAGAACUCAGGACAUUGGCCAAUGGAACUGCAGCUGAACAGAAGCUUCCAAGUCACGCAUUUCCCCCCCCUUUCCCCCCCCAAGGUUUCAUAAGCAAAAUGCCCUGAAAGGCUGAUGAAAGUGUUAGGCAAACCCAGCCAGAAUGGGCAUUGUGUGGCCAGAUGACAAAAACAGGAGUUGACACUUUCCAACAUUCUCAACAGUGAGAAUUUGUUUUAAUGUAAUUAGUCGGUAUAAAAAAGAACAGAAAAUCCCUCUGGAGCCAAA